rnacentral:rRNA from 1 species
UACAGAGGUCCCAAGCGUUGUUCGGAUUCACUGGCGUAAAGGGCGCGUAGGCGGCCUUCUAAGUCAGACGUGAAAUCCCCGGGCUCAACCCGGGAACUGCGUCUGAGACUGGAAGGCUCGAAUCCGGGAGAGGGAUGCGGAAUUCCAGGUGUAGAGGUGAAAUCGUAGAUAUUGGGAAGAACACCGGUGGCGAAGGCGGCCAUCUGGACCGCAACUGACGCUGAGGCGGCG